GACGAACGCUGGCGGCGUGCUUAACACAUGCAAGUCGAACGAAGUGGCGAACGGGUGAGUAACGCGUAAUCAACUUGCCCUUCAGAGGGGGACACCAGUUGGAAACGACUGCUAAUACCGCAUACUGAAGGAGGGGAUUGCGUCUGAUUGGCUAGGCGGUGGGGUAACGGCCCACCAAGGCGAUGAUCAGUAGCCGGUCUGGGAGGAUGAACGGCCACAUUGGGACUGGGACACGGCCCAGACUCCUACGGGGUGCAGCAGGGGGGAAUCAUCCGCAAUGGGCGAAAGUCUGACGGAGCAACGCCGCGUGAGUGAUGACGGCCUUCGGGUUGUAAAGCUCUGUUAAUCGGGACGCGGUACCGGAAUAGAAAGCCACGGCUAACUACGUGCCAGCCGCCGCGGUAAUAC
rnacentral:rRNA from 1 species